rfam:Gymnopus luxurians FD-317 M1 unplaced genomic scaffold GYMLTscaffold_18, whole genome shotgun sequence.
GAUCCCGUAGCUCAGUUGGUAGAGCGUGAGAUUCCAAAUCUCAAGGUCAUCCGUUCAAGCCGGGUCGGGGUCA